CCUACGGGAUGCAGCAGUGGGGAAUAUUGGGCAAUGGGCGCCAGCCUGACCCCGCAACGCCGCGUGACGGAAGAAGGCUUUCGGGUUGUAAACUUCUUUUGUCAGGGACGAAGCAAGUGACGGUACCUGACGAAUAAGUCACGGCUAACUACGUGCCAGCAGCCGCGGUAAUACGUAGGUGGCAAGCGUUAUCCGGGUUUACUGGGUGUAAAGGGCGUGUAGGCGGGGAAGCAAGUCAGAUGUGAAAACCACGGGCUCAACCUGUGGCCUGCAUUUGAAACUGGCAAACUGGAGUGUGUGAGAGGAUAGUGGAAGUCCAGGUGUAGGAGUGAAAUCCGUAGAUAUCUGGAGGAACAUCAGUGGCGAAGGCGACUAUCUGGCACAUAACUGACGCUGAGGAGCGAAAGCGUGGGUAGCAAACAGGAUUAGAUACCCGAGUAGUC
rnacentral:rRNA from 1 species